GGGAAAGGAAGAUGAAACGUCAAAACCCACAUUAGAAGUUCUCCAGAAUUUUAGGACAAACCUCUGCUGGCAAGAGUACCACUAAGCCUUUCAUGUUGGUUGCCUAAAGGGAGAACUGCAGGUAGGAAAUCUCUACUCUUGCUACCUAUGCUAAACAACUUUAGAGAGUGGAUGGACAUUCAAGUGUUAGCUUGGCCAGCAGCAAAGCUGGCCAAGCUGCAUUUGGGGCUCCCUCAGCUCUCUCGCUGCCUAGCGGCUGAUGCACUCCAGAGAAAGAAAAGUUGG
rnacentral:lncRNA from 1 species